rnacentral:rRNA from 1 species
AUAGGAGACAAGAGGGCAUCUUCUUGUUUUUAAAAGACCUAGCAAUAGGUAUGCUUAGGGAGGAGCUUGCGUCACAUUAGUUAGUUGGUGGGGUAAAGGCCUAACAAGACUAUGAUGUGUAGCCGGGCUGAGAGGUUGAACGGCCACAUUGGGACUGAGACACGGCCCAAACUCCUACGGGAGGCAGCAGUAGGGAGUUUUCGGCAAUGGAGGAAACUCUGACCGAGCAACGCCGCGUGAACGAUGAAGUAUUUCGGUACGUAAAGUUCUUUUAUUAGGGAAGAAUAAAUGAUGGAAAAAUCAUUCUGACGGUACCUAAUGAAUAAGCCCCGGCUAACUAUGUGCCAGCAGCCGCGGUAAUACAUAGGGGGCAAGCGUUAUCCGGAAUUAUUGGGCGUAAAGGGUGCGUAGACGGUUAAAUAAGUUUAUGGUCUAAGUGCAAUGCUCAACAUUGUGAUGCUAUAAAAACUGUUUAGCUAGAGUAAGAUAGAGGCAAGUGGAAUUCCAUGUGUAGUGGUAAAAUGCGUAAAUAUAUGGAGGAACACCAGUAGCGAAGGCGGCUUGCUGGGUCUUUACUGACGCUGAGGCACGAAAGCGUGGGGAGCAAACAGGAUUAGAUACCCUGGUAGUCCACGCCGUAAACGAUGAGUACUAAACGUUGGGUAAAACCAGUGUUGAAGUUAACACAUUAAGUACUCCGCCUGAGUAGUACGUACGCAAGUAUGAAACUUAAAGGAAUUGACGGGACUCCGCACAAGCGGUGGAUCAUGUUGUUUAAUUCGAAGGUACCCGAAAAACCUCACCAGGUCUUGACAUGCUUCUGCAGAGCUGUAGAAACACAGUGGAGGUUAUCAGUUGCACAGGUGGUGCAUGGUUGUCGUCAGCUCGUGUCGUGAGAUGUUGGGUUAAGUCCCGCAACGAGCGCAACCCUUAUUGUUAGUUACCAGCACGUAAUGGUGGGGACUUUAGCAAGACUGCCAGUGAUAAAUUGGAGGAAGGUGGGGACGACGUCAAAUCAUCAUGCCCCUUAUGACCUGGGCUACAAACGUGAUACAAUGGCUGUUACAAAGGGUAGCUGAAGCGCAAGUUUUUGGCGAAUCUCAAAAAAACAGUCUCAGUUCGGAUUGAAGUCUGCAACUCGACUUCAUGAAGUUGGAAUCGCUAGUAAUCGCGAAUCAGCAUGUCGCGGUGAAUACGUUCA